GACCAGAGGGCCAGUAUGGUUUGAGUGUUGGACUAUGACUCUGGAGACCAGGGUUCGAAUCCCAGCUUGGCCA